rnacentral:rRNA from 1 species
GAUGAACGCUGGCGGCACGCCUAACACAUGCAAGUCGAACGAAGCAUAGGAGCUUGCUCCUAUGACUGAGUGGCGCACGGGUGAGUAACACGUGGGAAUCUGCCUAUUGGUGGGGAAUAACUUUUGGAAACGAAAGCUAAUACCGCAUAAGCCCUGAGGGGGAAAGAUUUAUCGCCAGUAGAUGAGCCCGCGCUAGAUUAGCUAGUUGGUGAGGUAAGAGCUCACCAAGGCUACGAUCUAUAGCUGGUCUGAGAGGAUGGUCAGCCACACUGGGACUGAGACACGGCCCAGACUCCUACGGGAGGCAGCAGUGGGGAAUAUUGGACAAUGGGGGAAACCCUGAUCCAGCGAUGCCGCGUGAGUGAAGAAGGCCUUCGGGUUGUAAAGCUCUUUCAGAGGGGAUGAUGAUGACGGUACCCUCAGAAGAAGCACCGGCUAACUUCGUGCCAGCCGCCGCGGUAA